CUCCUGGAAACGGGUGGUAAUGCCGGAUGUUCCACAUUAGCGCAUGCGAGUGUGGGAAAGGCUUUUUGCGGCAUGGGAUGGGGUCGCGUCCUAUCAGCUUGUUGGUGGGGUAACGGCCUACCAAGGCGUUGACGGGUAGCCGGCCUGAGAGGGCGACCGGCCACAUUGGGACUGAGAUACGGCCCAGACUCCUACGGGAGGCAGCAGUGGGGAAUAUUGCACAAUGGGCGCAAGCCUGAUGCAGCGACGCCGCGUGCGGGAUGGAGGCCUUCGGGUUGUAAACCGCUUUUGUUCAAGGGCAAGGCACGGUUUCGGCCGUGUUGAGUGGAUUGUUCGAAUAAGCACCGGCUAACUACGUGCCAGCAGCCGCGGUAAUACGUAGGGUGCAAGCGUUAUCCGGAUUUAUUGGGCGUAAAGGGCUCGUAGGCGGUUCGUCGCGUCCGGUGUGAAAGUCCAUCGCUUAACGGUGGAUCCGCGCCGGGUACGGGCGGGCUUGAGUGCGGUAGGGGAGACUGGAAUUCCCGGUGUAACGGUGGAAUGUGUAGAUAUCGGGAAGAACACC
rnacentral:rRNA from 1 species